rnacentral:rRNA from 1 species
UGGGGAAUAUUGCACAAUGGGCGCAAGCCUGAUGCAGCCAUGCCGCGUGUGUGAAGAAGGCCUUCGGGUUGUAAAGCACUUUCAGCGAGGAGGCAGGGUAGUGUGUUAAUAGCACAUUGCAUUGACGUUACUCGCAGAAGAAGCACCGGCUCACUCCGUGCCAGCAGCCGCGGUAAUACGGAGGGUGCAAGCGUUAAUCGGAAUUACUGGGCGUAAAGCGCACGCAGGCGGUUUGUUAAGUCAGAUGUGAAAUCCCCGCGCUUAACGUGGGAACUGCAUUUGAAACUGGCAAGCUAGAGUCUUGUAGAGGGGGGUAGAAUUCCAGGUGUAGCGGUGAAAUGCGUAGAGAUCUGGAGGAAUACCGGUGGCGAAGGCGGCCCCCUGGACAAAGACUGACGCUCAGGUGCGAAAGCGUGGGGAGCAAACA